AAUGAACGCUGGCGGUAUGCCUAACACAUGCAAGUCGAACGAGACCACCGGGUCUAGUGGCGCAUGGGUGCGUCACGUGUGGGAACCUGCCCUUAGGCUUGGAAUAAUACCUCGAAAGGGGUGCUAAUAUCGGAAAACGUCUUCGGAUAAAAGAUUCAUCUCCCUUGGAUGGGCCCGCGUUGGUUUAGCUAGUUGGUAGGGUAAAAGCCUACCAAGGAGACGUUCCAUAGCUGGUCAGAGAGGAUGAUCAGCCACACUGGGACUGGGACACGGCCCAGACUCCUGCAGGAUGCAGCAGAGGGGAAUAUUGGAAUAAGGGCGAAAUCCUGAACCAGCAAUGCCGCGUGAGUGAUGAAGUUCUUAAAGAUGUAAAGCACUUUUACCCGGGGUGAUAAUGACAGUACCAAAAGAAUAAGCACCGGCUAACUCCGUG
rnacentral:rRNA from 1 species